AGUAAAAGUCGUAACAAGGUUUCCG
rnacentral:ncRNA from 6 species